rnacentral:rRNA from 1 species
UACGUAGGGUGCGAGCGUGUCCGGAAUUAUUGGGCGUAAAGAGCUCGUAGGCGGUGUGUCACGUCGGCCGUGAAAACCUGCAGCUUAACUGUGGGCGUGCGGUCGAUACGGGCAUCACUGGAGUUCGGCAGGGGAGACUGGAAUUCCUGGUGUAGCGGUGAAAUGCGCAGAUAUCAGGAGGAACACCGGUGGCGAAGGCGGGUCUCUGGGCCGUAACUGACGCUGAGGAGCGAAAGCGUGGGGAGCGAACAGG